GCCUUCGUAGUGUAGUGGUCAGCACGCUCGACGUAGUAUUCGAGAGGUCCGUGGUUCGAAUCCCGGGCUGGGACA
rnacentral:tRNA from 1 species